rnacentral:rRNA from 1 species
GUCCACGCCCUAAACGAUGACAACUAGCUUUUCGGAGUAUCGACCCUCUGAGAGGCGAAGCAAACGCGUUAAGUUGUCCGCCUGGGUAGUACGGCCGCAAGGCUAAAACUCAAAGGAAUAGACGGGGACUUGCACAAGCAGUGGAUUAUGCGGUUUAAUUCGAUAUCGAACGAAGAACCUUACCAGGGUUAGAAAUUUAAGUGAAGAUCCCGAGAAAUCGGGAUCGUCCGCAAGGACAGUUAGACAGGUGAUGCAUGGCCGUCGU